UUCCAGAGACGCUCAAUAAGUACCUGGCACUGGACCCAAACUGUGAAGGGGAGGCUGAACCUGAACAGGUCUGUGGCGAGAGCUGCAGGCUCUUCAGCCACACUGUACACUGGCUGACUGGGUCCAUGCCAAAGGGACAACUCCACUCACUCACUUCCUUGUUUUGUUUUGUUUUGUUUUGAGAUACAGUCUCCUAGGCACUCUCCCUACGUAUCCGAAAUUGACCGUGAACUCGAGUCAAUCUUCCUGCCUCAGACUCUUAAGUGCUGACUACAGACGCAGAUGACAGGCCGCCUAGCAGUCUGAACGUGACAAGUCAAUUACACUGCCUCCUUGCCUCUUUUGCUCUGGAGAGGCCAUCUGGACACCUCAAGCCUCCAUAGCCACACCCAAGUCAUGGACCAGAAAGGCACCCAAGGAGAGCACUGGACCCCAGGAACCCAUUACUGCCAGCAGAACCUGGUUAUGGAUGCUCCUGCGAAUAAUAUUGCGACCAGAGAGAACAGGCCCACACACGGGGCCCCCGAGUCUUUCCAUCCACAGGAUGUCAGAACAGGGCCAGACCAGGGAUCUAGAGUAUAUACUGGGCAAGCACAGCCUAGAGGACGCUCUAGCUGGCAUCCAGCACCCAGCAUCCAAACCCAGGCAGCUCCCUGGAGACCACAAAGGCCCUGUGAGUUAGCCUGUCACUGUGGAAACCCGCCGCUUCUGGAGAAGCCCAGUGAGUGGAUGUGUUUAGCUUGAGUGUCAAGGUCUCUAAAGCUAUGUGUGAACGCAGAGUGACGGACCACCGGGUCUGGCCGCUGGGAAGACUUCUUCCCAUGUGCCACUGCAGGGACAGGGGCUGCUAUAGGUCUUCCAUGGAUGGACCCAGUCUGGGAAGUCAUCCAACCUCUGCAGGCACUUUCCUGGGAGGGUGGUUUCACCCAGCCCUUCCUGGAGCCUGUGCUUCCAGGGGUUCACCAGCCCCAGAUUCCUGUCACCUUCCCUAUGUCCCUUCCAUUGUCACUGGUAGGGGAGCCCUGAUGAUUCAAGGGGUUUUCUUCUCCCUGGGGAGUUGGAAUCACUUCCAGCUCAUCUCUGGGUUGUCCGCGAGACCCAUGCAGCUUCUAGCAGGACCACACAGCACUGCAUUCCAUGCCUGCGGCCACUCGCCCUCUCCCUCCCGCCAUCCCAGAUGCUUUCAGGAUGAGACAGCCCCAGGCAAGGCCCCUUCUUCCUUGGACCUGAGCAACACUAAGCCAGCUGCUUGCCCUCUCUGUGCCUCAGCACCCCAGAGUAAGAUGGACCGCCCAUAAGGGGCUCCAGCCUCACUGGCUGGCUCACACUGCUUGUUGUUAGCUCUGUGGCCUCAUCACACAGCCUUUAGUUAUGGAACUCUGGAACUCCCAGGGGAGGGGUGCACAACAGCUGGGCAGGACAGAGAACACAGCAGAGCAAAGGUGCAGCUCACAUUACGGCGUGGCAUAGCUCACAGUGAGACCGUUCAGAAGCGGGCCCUGGAGUCCCCUGGGAUACCCUAGGUGCCCCAGGCACCCUGUCCCCAGUUGCUGCUUGCUGCUCACUGCUUUCUGGCCAAGCCCCCAAGGCCGCUGCUUGGCCACCUGCCCCACAUUCUUGGCCCUGAGCCCUGGCAGCCCCCAGCACAAAUCAAGAGUCAGCCUGGGCUCCAGGGCCUUUGGACCCUCUGACGGCUCCCUGUCUGCCUGGCAACCCAAGGGCCUCCCGCAAGAGGCCGUGGCCUAUAGAGAUGAAGGGAACCAGCACCCAUUGACAUUCUCAAAGAUCACCAUGGCAACAACACAGCAGCCAGCUGGCAGGAGUUGAGGGAGCACAGAACAGCAGGCGUUCUCUCCCCUGGGAGAGAACCAGGCAGCUGGGGCACAGGCCAUGUGGGGUUGGGACUCAGGCCCGUGAGUACUAAUGAAGGGGCAGGUGCUUGGAGGACAGUGUGGGGACACCACUGGGCACUCAUCCAAGUGGCCCCGAUAUCGUUGCCUUUGUCUCCAGGGUCAGCCUGGGGCUGUCUCCUUGAGAAAGGGUUGGUGGAGGCCAAGGUGCCCAGCCUACUUCUGUCUGUACCUAUGGGACAGCAGUGGCAGCAGCAGCAAGAGAGCUGGUCUUGGCAAAGCCACUCUGGGGAAUAAGAUAAGCAGGCUCGUCAACCUCCCUUUUAGAGGCUCAGGAGAGACCCAGGUUGCCAGGUGUCACAUCCUGCAUGUGGCCCAGGAAGGCCCACGAGGAAGCCACGGAGGAACCUUGCCAGCUUCUCACCAUUCAAGAAACCGGUGCCCAGGUGCAAAGUCACUGUGGCAGGAACCUGUGGGUCACAUCAAGGGUCCCGCUCCUGCCACAUCUAGCCCACUUUAGGUUAGUAGAAUGGAGUCCCUUGGAGGCCGGGGAGCAGGCUUAGGACCCAUCUCUGUCUGUCCUUCUUCCAAGGAGCCGAGUCAGUCCUCUCUCCUGGCCAGGCCUCCCGGGUACCCCACAGAUGUGGCGCCCUGCUCCUCAGCUGAGACACUCACAGCUAUUCUGUACCUAAGAAAAGGGGGUGCAGGGGGGAGAGGAGUGUCCAGGGUUCCCCAGGCACUCACACCCAUGGCUACCCUGCCCAACUGGGGUGGAAAAUGACAACUUCUGAUGGUUUAGGGAAAUGACGACCAGUGUAGAGUCCCCUGACUUCAGGCCCGUCCUCUUUGGAGGAGGAGAAGACGCCUAAGUGAGAUGCCGCUUCUCACAGCUUUUCAGACAUACUAACCGAUUCACAAAUGCACAGAAACCCGCCCUCCUCAUGUCAGAUGCUCUGUGUCUGAGAUUUGACAAAAUGCAACAAAAUAAGCUCCCAACACAGACUGUUCCAGAAUGUUCUUCUCCUCAAACUCCAAGACUAGCACAGAAACCACCUGACUUGUCUCGCUGACCUCCUCACGUCCUGCCGCAACAAUUCAAAGACCGACAUGCCCAACUGGAAGAGCAGAGCCAGCCAGCAGAAAACCCAACAGAAUGUUGCAGAUCAGCACUAUCCAACACAGCAGCCCGCCAGCUACCCACGGGUACAAGGUACUUGAAGCUCAGCAGUGGGACCCAGAUCUGAGGCUUGCAUUGCGCGUUUUCUGAGCAGAGCCCUUGCCUAGCACAGCAAAGCCCUGGCUUCAAUUCCUAGCACCACAAACAGUCAUAAGAAAUUAAAUAAACUCUCAGGGCCACACGUGGCUGGUGGCUGGCCGCUGCUGUCCAGCAGCUCUGGAGAAAGAAACCUUUUUCAGUUGGUGUGAGCAUGUCCUGAGGCCAGAGGAGGGCGAGUGAGGGGCACAGGUGGGCUGUGAGGCUGAGCAUUCGGCUGGGUCGGCAAGUGCCCUGUGGUGACCACACAGAGGCCAGGUUGGACCGGGGAGCUCUGCCAGGAGGUGCACAGCAUCCCUGCGGCUUCCAGGCUGCAUGGAGGUAAUACUACGGAAGAUGAGUAACAUUGGACCAUGUAAAGGUGAACCCAGCAGUGGG